rnacentral:lncRNA from 1 species
UAUUUCAAAUAUGUUUAUUAUCUUGAGUACAAUAUUAAUACAUUUAGGGUUAUAUUUUGUAAUUAUUAUAUUAGGAGUUGUAUAGUAUUAUUUUAUAUUAAGUAGGGUAUAGGCAGGGUAUUUAAACCCAUUUCCGACCCAUUCAGUUCAAUUUUUUACGGGUAUUUCUCGCACUGGCCUCUUACUCCGUUCCAUAUAAGUAUUUUUCAUUAUGUUUGAACAAAUAAGGUCGAAUAUCGGUAAAUAUGAAUAAUAUUUUCCAGACUCCGUGCAAGUUACGGCCAUCUAUCUGUACACUUUCCAAAGCGGCACCGCCAAGGAGUCUGAAUGGUUUGAUUAAUUAUGAACCGAGUAUCGAAUUGGUUUGAAACCAUGAUUCAUAGGCUUUCCUCUCUGUCUUCCACUUAAAUUUUCCUGUCUCGUGGCCGGCCAUCGCACAUGAUCAUUUACUCUCUCACCCUAUUCAUAGCUUUGGCCAAUUGGCCUGCAAAUUCAAACAGUGGCGUGGGAUGAUUGUAUUUGCUACUCAAACGGAGAUAGCUAGCUCGGUCCGAACAACUGGUUGAAUGUAUCAAGUCGAGUGUUUAAUAGUUGAAUUGAGUUCGAAAUUUAACAGAUAAUUGUUAUAUAUAUGAUAUAAUUAACACUCGAAUGUCACUUGUGUGUUCAUACGGAAAUCAGAAAAAGUACUGGCUAGAAGCCUUCUUUAGUUGUUUUGAUGAUUCAAAAUGAA